rnacentral:rRNA from 1 species
ACUCCUACGGGAGGCAGCAGUGGGAAGUAUUGGACAAUGGGCAACCCGUGCAUCCAGCCAUGCCGCGUGUGUGAAGAAGGCCUUCGGGUUGUAAAGCACUUUCAGUAGGGAGGAAAGGUUGUACGUUAAUACCGUGCAGCUGUGACGUUACCUACAGAAGAAGCACCGGCUAACUCCGUGCCAGCAGCCGCGGUAAUACGGAGGGUGCAAGCGUUAAUCGGAAUUACUGGGCGUAAAGCGCGCGUAGGCGGUUAGGUCAGUCAGAUGUGAAAGCCCGGCGUCAACCUGGGAAUUGCACCUGAUACUGCCUGACUAGAGUACAGAAGAGGUGGUGGAAUUUCCUGUGUAGCGGUGAAAUGCGUAGAUAUAGGAAGGAACAUCAGU